CCUGACUGCUAUCGGAUUGAUACUAAGCCAUGCGAGUCAUUGUAGCAAUACAAGGCAGACGGCUCAGUAACGCGUAGUCAACCUACCCUAUGGACGGGGAUAACCUCGGGAAACUGAGAAUAAUACCAGAUAGAACAUUAUGCCUGGAAUGGUUUAUGUUUCAAAUAAUUUAUUGCCGUAGGAUGGGACUGCGGCCUAUCAGUUUGUUGGUGAGGUAAUGGCCCACCAAGACUAUUACAGGUACGGGCUCUGAGAGGAGUAGCCCGGAGAUGGGUACUGAGACACGGACCCAGGCCCUAUGGGGCGCAGCAGGCGAGAAAACUUUGCAAUGUGCGAAAGCACGACAAGGUUAAUCCGAGUGAUUUCUGCUAAAGGAAUCUUUUGUCAGUCCUAGAAACACUGUUGAAUAAGGGGUGGGCAAGUUCUGGUGUCAGCCGCCGCGGUAAAACCAGCACCUCAAGUGGUCAGGAUGAUUAUUGGGCCUAAAGCAUCCGUAGCCUGCUUUGUCAGUUUUCGGUUAAAUCCAUACGCUCAACGUAUGGGCUGCCGGAAAUACUGCAAAGCUAGGGAGUGGGAGAGGUAGACGGUACUCGGGAGGAAGGGGUAAAAUCCUUUGAUCUCUCGAUGACCACCUGUGGCGAAGGCGGUCUACCAGAACACGUCCGACGGUGAGGGAUGAAAGCUGGGGGAGCAAACCGGAUUAGAUACCCGGGUAGUCCCAGCUGUAAACUAUGCAAACUCAGUGAUGCAUUGGCUUGAUGCCAAUGCAGUGUUGCAGGGAAGCCGUUAAGUUUGCCGCCUGGGAAGUACGUACGCAAGUAUGAAGCUUAAAGGAAUUGGCGGGGGAGCACCACAAGGGGUGAAGCCUGCGGUUC
rnacentral:rRNA from 1 species